rnacentral:rRNA from 1 species
GAAUCCCGUCUUUGACAUGGACUGCCAGGGCUCAACAGGUGUGCUCUCGAAGAGUCGAGUUGUUUGGGAAUGCAGCUCAAAAUGGGUGGUAAAUGCCAUCUAAAGCUAAAUAUUGGCGAGAGACCGAUAGCGAACAAGUACCGUGAGGGAAAGAUGAAAAGAACUUUGGAAAGAGAGUUAAACAGUACGUGAAAUUGCUGAAAGGGAAACGCUUGAAGCCAGUCGCGUCAGCUGGAAAUCAACCCUGCUUUUGCUGGGCGCACUUUCCUGUCUGACGGGUCAGCAUCAGUUCUGGUCGCUGGAUAAAGUCCUUGGGAACGUGGCAUCCUUUGGAUGUGUUAUAGCCCACUGGCGCACGCAGCGGCUGGGAUUGAGGAACUCAGCACGGCCCUUGCGAGAGGGCGAUUGGAGGGAGACCUCACAACUUACGUGCUUAGGAUGCUGGCAUAAUGGCUUUAAUCGACCCGUCUUGAAACACGGACCAAGGAGUCUAACAUGCCUGCGAGUGUUUGGGUGGUGAAAACUCAUGCGCGCAAUGAAAGUGAUGGUUGAGAUCCCUGUCAUGGGGAGCAUCGACGCCCAGACCAGACCUUUUGCGACGGAUCUGCGGUAGAGCAUGCAUGUUGGGACCCGAAAGAUGGUGAACUAUGCCUGAAUAGGGUGAAGCCAGAGGAAACUCUGGUGGAGGCUCGUAGCGAUUCUGACGUGCAAAUCGAUCGUCAAAUUUGGGUAUAGGGGCGAAAGACUAAUCGAACCAUCUAGUAGCUGGUUCCUGCC